UACGAAGGGGGGCGAGCGUUGUCCGGAUUUACUGGGCGUAAGGAGCGCGCAGGCGGUCGUUCAAGUCGAGUGUGAAAGCCCCCGGCUCAACUGGGGAGGGUCACUCGAUACUGAUCGACUCGAAGGCAGGAGAGGGAAGCGGAAUUCCCGGUGUAGUGGUGAAAUGCGUAGAUAUCGGGAGGAACACCAGUGGCGAAGGCGGCGAUCUGGGAAGAUACUGACGCUGAGGUGCGAAAGCGUGGGGAGCAAACAGG
rnacentral:rRNA from 1 species